GACGAACGCUGGCGGCGUGCUUAACACAUGCAAGUCGAACGGAAAGGCCCUGCUUUUGUGGGGUGCUCGAGUGGCGAACGGGUGAGUAACACGUGAGUAACCUGCCCUUGACUUUGGGAUAACUUUAGGAAACUGGGGCUAAUACCGGAUAGGAUCUCCUGCUGCAUGGUGGGGGUUGGAAAGUUUCGGCGGUUGGGGAUGUACUCGCGGCUUAUCAGCUUGUUGGUGGGGUAGUUGCUUACCAAGGGUUUGACGGGUAGCCGGCCUGAGAGGGUGGACGGCGACAUUGGGACUGAGGUAGGGACCAGAAUCCUACGGGAGGCAGCAGUGGGGAACAUUGCAGAAUGGGCGGAAGCCUGAUGCAGCAACGCCGCGUGCGGGAUGACGGCCUUCGGGUUAUAAACAGCUUUCGACUGUGACGAAGAGUGAGUGACGGUAAUGGGUAAAGAAGCACCGGCUAACUACGUG
rnacentral:rRNA from 1 species